AGGUCGGUCUGUCGCUCACAUCAGUGGGAGGAAAGUCCGGGCAGCACAAGGCAUCAUGCCGGUUAACGGCCGGUAGGCGGCGACGUUUAGGACAACGUAACAGAAAAUAACCGCUCUGCGCAGAGGCGACUCUGUGUAGUGUAAGGGUGAAAAGGCGAGGUAAGAGCUCACCGCACACAUGGUAACAUGGAGUGGCUGUACGUCCCAUGAGCUGUAAGAUCAUGUAUACUGGCGCUUGGUGGGUGUCUCUGGAUACUCCAUCAUGAAGGGUUGCCUGCUUUAGCCAGGGGGUAGAUUGCUGGAGUCUGUUGGUAACAGCAGAUCGAGAUUAAUGGCAGACACUUAUCUUGUAUAAACACAGAACCCGGCUCAUAGGCCUACUGUU
rnacentral:RNase_P_RNA from 1 species